UAAGGAAUAUUGGUCAAUGGACGCAAGUCUGAACCAGCCAUGCCGCGUGCAGGAUGACGGCCCUACGGGUUGUAAACUGCUUUUGUACGGGAAAAAACCUCCGGUUGUGAAUCGGAGCUGAUGGUACCGUACGAAUAAGCAUCGGCUAACUCCGUGCCAGCAGCCGCGGUAAUACGGAGGAUGCAAGCGUUAUCCGGAUUCAUUGGGUUUAAAGGGUGCGCAGGCGGAAUGAUAAGUCAGUGGUGAAAUCUCUCGGCUCAACUGAGAAACUGCCAUUGAGACUGUUGUGCUUGAGUACACUUGAAGUGGGCGGAAUGUGUCAUGUAGCGGUGAAAUGCGUAGAUAUGACACAGAACACCGAUGGCGAAGGCAGCUCACUAAAUUGUAACUGACGCUCAGGCACGAAAGCGUGGGGAUCAAACA
rnacentral:rRNA from 1 species